rnacentral:misc_RNA from 1 species
GGAAGUAAAAGUCGUAACAAGAUUUCCGUAGGUGAACCUGCGGAAGGAUCAUUAUUGUAUAACCGAGGUGCGAGGGCUGUCGCUGACCCGAAAGGUCGUGCACGCCCGAGUGCCCUCACACACAUCCAUCUCACCCCUAUGUGCACCACCGCGUGGGUCCCCCUUUGGCUUGUUCGGAGGGGGGCUUACGUUUUCACACAAACUUUGUAUGCACUGUAGAAUGUAUUUUUUGUUUUUGCGAUCACGCAAUCAAUACAACUUUCAACAACGGAUCUCUUGGCUCUC